GGUGGUAAUUUGUGCCGUUUGUUCUUGUCCUUCUUGCAGCCAGGGAAGGAACAAAGGCAGAGGUUGGAGCAUGUUCCUUUCUUCACAGUGUUCUCUGGAGUUCACUGGCAAAAUCAAAAGAGGAAUUGUAGUGUAAUGGAGCGUCCUUGACAAUGGGUUGCUUCUUCGGAGUUCUGAGUAUAUUCCUCUCAGCAGAGCCCUGGGAAAUGGGCAGUUGGUGUGGAUCUUGGCAGCUGACACAGAUGACAGGACAAAGGAGCAUACAUGGAAAUAAAAUGAAAAUUCAGAACAGAUGUCAGGACACAUUUUUCAUGCUGAAUGUGCAGAGUGGCCAACCAGGAAAAGAAUAAUAGUGGAAAUGAGACCAUUGCCCCUUCAUCAUCACUCCUUUGCUGCUUUCAAAGUCCUAGAAGAUACCGGAAAUGUAGUCAUGGAGUGUAUUUCAAGGAAUCUCAAGUAAAGCAAGGAGAAGCUCUAUGAAGCCUUUCAGUAUUGGAUACCAAUUAAAAAGACAUUUAGUUGAGGCUGAUCUUCAGUUGCUUAGGUCUGUUUUUAAGUACCUAGUUUGGUUUUUGAAUUUUCCUAUUAGAAGCAGUCAUCUGGUUUCAGGGUGCUGCUAUGCUUGCACAGAAAUGCCCAUUUUUGUUUCUGUUCAGUAAUAAAUUACAAAAUUAUUACUUUACCCAAAAUAGCCAGUCUUAAAUAUUUGGUAUCUAAGGUACGCUCUUGGACACAGUAGUGUAAAUUGUGUCAAUCCCAUAGAAUUUAUCAUGCGUAUUAAUAGUUAGACUUCCUUCCUUGUAUUCCAGGUGUGGCAGUUCAACGUAUUAAGCAUAUUCACUAAAAGACUGCAAUAAGGAUAAAAGGAUGUUUUCUUGGUUAUGGCACAGGGCCAUUGUCCUUUACCAUAGAAAUUUUUUUAUGUAUCUCAGGCAAGCAAUGCUUUUAAGGAGUUACUUCAUUGUCUUUCUUCUCUUUUGGAAGACCUAGCUGGAGAUACAAUACUUUAAUUUGCUGAAGCAUAUAUAGGUGCAACUGAUUGAGCUAAAUAGUCUGAGGCAGAUACUUUGGACCUGAGAAUUAGAACCAAAAUAAGGUAGAUGUAUUUAAUUUAUGUGCUGUUCCUGUCUGUAAGAGCUGUUAAUAUUCCCUUAACUCAUGGAUAUGUAUUUAGGUAAAACCCCAGAAUGUUAUAAUAUGUAUUACCAAAAGUCACAGAGGACUUAGCAAUUCCAUUUUCAAAACUGGGCUUGGACAGUACUUUAUAAAUAAAGUCAGAGGCAGUACAUUGAACAAUAAAGAGAAAAAAUUUUGAACAGCUGCUACACUAGUAUUCCUUUCUAAUCUUAGAUGCAGGAUCUUGCAGAAAAUUGACAGAUUUUAAGUAAGGAGGCUGAAUUAAGUUUAUGCAGGCAACCUUCUUUUUUUAUUUCUACCUUUGAGGUCUUGAAUUUUUACCCCUCGUAACACCACUCUUUUAACAGUUACUUAGUAUAUAAUACACAAAGAAUAAGAAAUUCUAUACUUCUGAUUAUUGUGUUUGCAAAGCAUACAAUGCAUAUAUAUAUAUAAUUUAUAUAUAUAUAUAUUUGCAUAUAAAUGCACUUUGAAUAUUUAAAAAGUAUACAAUGCAUAUGCAUUCCUGAAGAAAUAGACCAGGAAUAUUUGAGAUAAUCUUGUUUGUUGUUAAAGAUUGCUUAUUCUGUUGCUGACUAUAUAUUCAGUUUGCCAAGGGAAUUUAUAGAAGUAGAAAAGAAUGUCAAAGCCUGAAGUGGCAUUUCCAAGUAAUGAUAGCUGUUUCUACUGUACUAUACUUUUUCUGCUGUACUGUACUGUUAUUGAUACAACUGAAUGUCUGUCCAAAUUUCUGUGGAUUCAGUGAUGCCUUAGGCAAUUUUGUAUCUCAAAUGCAACAAUCUGCCACACAUACAGCCAAAAAGUUUGAGAACCUGCUCUAAAUAUCUCUGAGGUUGCAAAUUCACAAUCCAGGGCCAUAUGCUGUUGUAAGUUUCAGCAUGCUGAUGCAGAAGAGUUCAAAUGUCCUGCACCUCAUUGGCAGUAAACAGUAGACAAAGAGCGACCUGACUGAGGUGACUGCUUAGGGAUUGGUGGCCCUACAGAUGGCACGAUGGAGAGUAAUCAGAUGUUCUAGAUUCAUUGCAGCAGUGGCCAAGAGAGAAAAGUUGUAUUCUGCUGACUUCUCCUGAAUUUGUUUACCUUACAUGAUGGUAAAUGAAUUUAUGAAUGCAAUAAUAUUGGUACAAGAUGAA